rnacentral:lncRNA from 1 species
GGCAAUCAAUAAAGUGAUUACAUCAAGUUCCAUGGUGCCACUAGUUCUCCUGUUAGUUUUAACUCACGUGGUAGGAUAUUAAUAAUCACUGUUGGCAAUCCAUUCCAAAGUCUCAUAAGCUUCAUUGUAAGAUUUAUCCAACAAGAUACCAUUGGCAGAAGCAACAAAAACCAUUCUUGUAUGUUCAUUCAACCCAUUGUAAAACAUCUCCAUCUGUGUCUCGUGC